GCCCUCAUAGCUCAACCGGAUAGAGCAUGACCCUCCGGAGGUCAAAAUCUCCGUUCGAGUCGGAGUGAGGGCA
rnacentral:tRNA from 1 species